GGCCAGACUCCUACGGGAGGCAGCAGUGGGGAAUAUUGCACAAUGGGGGGAAACCCUGAUGCAGCGACGCCGCGUGAGUGAGGAAGUAUUUCGGUAUGUAAAGCUCUAUCAGCAGGGAAGAAGAUGACGGUACCUGACUAAGAAGCCCCGGCUAACUACGUGCCAGCAGCCGCGGUAAUACGUAGGGGGCAAGCGUUAUCCGGAUUUACUGGGUGUAAAGGGAGCGUAGACGGCGAUGCAAGCCAGAUGUGAAAGCCCGGGGCUCAACCCCGGGACUGCAUUUGGAACUGUGUGGCUGGAGUGUCGGAGAGGCAGGCGGAAUUCCUAGUGUAGCGGUGAAAUGCGUAGAUAUCAGGAGGAACACCGGUGGCGAAGGCGGCCUGCUGGACUGCGACUGACGUUGAGGCCCGAAAGCGUGGGGAGCAAACAGGAUUAGAUACCCCGGUAC
rnacentral:rRNA from 1 species